AAAAGAUGAGCCCAGUCCUCCGCCCAGGUGUUUCCCCUGCUCACUGAGCAGCCAUCGUGGCUGCCAGGCGCUGGGAAGGCAGAGAACUCAAAAGGAAGAUGUAUGCUGCACCCAUCCAGAAUUGCACUUUGGACGAUGGCCCUGCUGACAAGAAUUCAGCAAGGCGUCCUUCUGAAGGGAGAGCCCUGUGAGAGCAGAAUCAAGAGAACGCCAGCAGGAGCUGCCCACGGGAGAGCAUCCUGUUGCCAUUCAGGUGCCAUAUCAAUGUGAUGCUCAAAACCACCGUGUGCGGCACAGAGCAGAAGGUUUCCUGGAAGAGGAAUCAUGGCCCUCAGGAAGUCAAAGUGGAUGCACAGAGCUGGGAGAGAGAAGUUCCAGUGGCAAGCCAACCAGCAGUCCUUCCUGGACGGCUCACAUGGGACCUGCUGGGCAGCACUCACUCAUUUCCACGUGUGGGUAGAACAAGGACUCUGAGAUGUGUCCCAGGUCUCACUGCACACAGCAGCGCCUCUCUGAGGUCUGGACCUGGCACCUAUUGCAAGGGAUUGGAAGGCUCAUUCAGAUCAAACAGGUGGAACCUUACUUUUAACUAUCACACCUUUUCUUCUUCUCACGGCUCUGCCCUGACCCUGAGAACCAAAAGGAAAGAAUGAGGGGCUGGGACUCACUCCUCUCUUUCUCAUGUCUAAGAAGCUCAGACAUUCAUUUAUUGGCCAAGAAUCGUAAGACUCUCCAUUUCAAUUUUUUUUUUUUUUUUUUUUUGAUAGGCAGAGUGGACAGUGAGAGAGAGAGACAGAGAGAAAUGUCUUCCUUUGCCGUUGGUUCACCCUCCAAUGGCCGCUGCGGCUGGCGCACCGCACUGAUCCGAUGGCAGGAGCCAGGUACUUAUCCUGGUCUCCCAUGGGGUGCAGGGCCCAAGCACUUGGGCCAUCCUCCACUGCACUCCCUGGCCACAGCAAAGAGCUGGCCUGGAAGAGGGGCAACUGGGACAGAAUCCGGCACCCUGACCGGGACUAGAACCCAGUGUGCUGGCGCCGCAAGGCGGAGGAUUAGCCUAGUGAGCCGCGGCACCAGCUCCCUUUUUAUUAAUUUCUAAAUGGGAUCCAGUGCUUCCGAUUUUCCUUCUUUGAAAGACUCAGAGGAUCUUGUCUGUGGGAUCCACAUCUGACGUUCUCAGCAGUUCUCUGCUCAAGGAAGGCGUGGAAUCCGAGACCAGCA